rnacentral:tRNA from 1 species
GCCCGCAUAGCAUAGCCAGGUAAUGCGCCUGCCCUGUAAGCAGGAAACCGUCGGUUCAAAUCCGACUGUGGGCU